GGCCGGUGAUGCAUUAAAAAUAUUUGCUACUCUUGAUGGGAGAAAAACUCCCCUUUGAUGAUUUUUAUCCACCAAGAUCUCUGAGGCC
rfam:Cicer arietinum chromosome Ca2, whole genome shotgun sequence.